UGCUUUGAGGUGGUUGCUGCGUGGAGCUGCUGGUGCCUGCAGGCAGUCCUCGGUUGCCCAGGAAACACAGAUGGUGGAUGAAGGGCGCGCAUACAAAAGACCAUAAACCUGUGGCAGCAGCUGGAGACCGAGACCGCUGAUUAAUUCAGGUCUGUGCUUAGUCAAAGGCGUCUCUGUUCUCUCUUAAUACCUCCCAUCCAUUUUCUUUGUCCCGGGGCUUCCGUCCUCCACUUUAUCCCGUUUCCCCGGACUGCUCUCCCGUCAGUGCGCAGCUGUUGUUGGCACUCCCACAUCUGCUUGUCUCGGAUCGGCAGCCAUGUAGACGACGCUCCGCCGCAGCUCGUGUUAGUGCGUAGCGUGGAGGUCCAGGGGGCGAGCAGCCUUUUACUGCGGGCUAAUCGCAGCACUCACACGGCGUGAAUUUGCAGGGUCGGCGGCUGCCCUGGGCAUGGAGGAAGAAGGGGAAGAAAAAGAAGAAGAAGUGAUGUUUUUGCACCGUUUGAUGCUGCGGGACAGGUGCAUGUGGAACCUGGACAUCACUGGUAACCUUGUGGUUGGAGGAUUCAUCCACAGAGCUGCCGACAUGUCACCAGUCAGGAAACUGGGAGGAUCCAAAUGGAAACCAACAGCAGGACAGGUUAUGUGUACAGGCUGGAUUAUAUUUACCAAAAAUCAUGAGGGAGGAUAGUGUUUCACAGCACAUAACAUCAGAUGGAUAAUUGAACAGCACUACUCAGUUAGAUAACAUGUCUUUUAACAGUGGGUGUGUUUCAGUCUCAUUUGUGUAAGACUAAAUAAAGCAGCAACAACGAGCAAUCCCUUGGGUGUCUUAGGAGGUCAGUUGGGUUGCGUCCCACUUUUCUGCUGCUUUGUGUUGUGUGUUCCUCUCCAGUUACACUGAUGAAAAAACCUGGGCUCGCGCUGGACCUCACGAGCUGCACGACUCCAUCGCCCUCCGCUGUGUGCUGCCUCACACAACGUGAUCGAUGCAUGGUGCCAUCGCUGCUGUCCUGUACCUUCAGAAGGAGAGGAUCCAUGUCCAAGUGUUCCCCCACUGGGAGACGACUUCUGCCGCUCCUGUGUAUCAAUGAAAAAGGGCUUUGAAGAGUUCAAAAUGCCACCGCAGCUUUGUAGUCAGUGUCAGCAUGAUCUGAUUUAACAGGAAGGUAUUUCACGGCUGGUGUUUUGGGUCCAGAAUAGUCUGCUGUAGCGCUCUUUCCUGUUUCCCUCAAAUGUGCGGUAAUACUAAUAUAGCUUUGUCCACCCCCACUCUCAUGUUUUUUUUUUUUCUUUUUGGCUGAUCAUAAACACUGCAGCCAUCGAACAACCUCUCAUCCUUAUUUUCAUCAGCCGCCGUGUGCAGUAACCUCUUCGCUCUGUUACCUUGGUUACCUUGUCUUUCACACUUUGGCCACUUCUCCCUUUAUAAGACACUUUAAAAUCACUAGUGUUUUUUUUUUUUUUUCAAUGUGUGUUAACUUCUCACCAAACUAAGCAUCUAUCUGCCAGAUUCAAAACUGGAAAGCUUUAGUUUUUCAAGCCUGUUAAAAAAAAUCUGCUUUAGUGUGUGAGAGUUUUCUCACAUUAUGACAAUGUGUAAUUCUCACAGUAUGUUCAUUGUUUGUCUUGAAACGUCUCAAUUUGGGUGUGAAGCCGACUAAUUUUUACAGUACAAACUCUGUAUUUUUACUGUAGCGUGUGGGCGUGUGAGUGUCUGCGUGAGUGCAUGUGUUUGUGUGCAUGUGCUCUAUUUGGUGUGCGUGUUUGUUCCUCUGCAUGUGUCCGUCUGACAAAACACAUUCGUAAUGGGCCUGAAGCUACUAGCUGCUUUCAGUGGUUUUUCUCAUUGCUGCACAGAUUCUUUUCUUUUUAAAAAAUGCCUGAAUCUCUUCUUUUAGCACUCUGGAUGUACCAGACAAAAGGAUAAAAACCAUAUUUACAAAUGAUUCUUAGCAUUUGUUACGGCUCUAAUUGAAGUACCAGUUAGGUGGGGGUUCUUGUGAUUCAGAUAAUCACAAGAAUGUCGCUGGAAAUUAAUGGUGUGUAGUUUUCUAAAUGGUGCCUGCUAGUGUUAAUUAAACUGUCCUGAUGCCUACAGCCCCAUCAUCUGAUACUUCAGCAAAUUACAGCAAAUGCUAAUAAUUAUGUGCAAAUAGCUUUUUACCCAGGUCUGGAUUCUACUAACAGUAUCUCACUAAUAUCUAACAAUACUAAUGUCUGCUAACAGUCGGAUGAUUACUAACCUGUACUCUGAAUGCUGAUGGCUGGCCUUGAUCUUUCUAACCCACUGACUAACCCCUCUGCUUUAUGCCCGCAGUCUGACGCACACACUCCUCUCUCACGAUCCUGCAAUCCUUCUAGAAAUCACAGACAAAGAUGAAUUAUUAAAGAAGAAAAUCAAUGAAAGCUGUUAAAGUGAGCAUGUCAAGAAGGGUUUCAGGACUUGGGAAGGGAAAUGUUAUUAACCACUAGAUGAAAAGAGGAGCAGAAAGAGCUGCUGAUAUCAAACUGGGUUGACCACAUACUUUAGAAGAAGCCUCGCAAAAAUGAUUUGAUCCCAAAAUGUCUCACGCCGCUGUUCCACACUUUGCAGGCUAAAUUCACAUCUUUAGAGGUCGUCUUUCUGUCUCUGCCUGUGUGGUCAACCCUCGCAGGUGAGUGCCUGGCUUGUUGUCACCACAGGCCACGCAAACCUUCACUACUAACUUACUAUGGUGUUGAUACUAACAGUGGUGAGGCUGUAAAGGCCCGCCUGUUGCUCCUACUAACAUCCGUGUUCUUUCUGACUGAAACUUCCUGGUGUUUGUAAUCAAAUUAUUCCGUCUCUUUGUUAGUCUGUAAUUAAAUCAGAGCAUGCCUCUUGGUACUGGGGAUGUUUAUUAAAUGACAUUACAUGGAGGCUUUUACCCAAAACAUCUUCUAGUGCCAUGAGUGUAUGCUUUUUAUCAGUGGGAACAAAGCUCUAACCGUGUUAGUGACGUGCUCGACCCAAAUCCUGAUAAACAAGUUCUGUUCUCUCAACAAGCUACUAACAUCUCCUAAAGUUAAAUAACCAGGUACUAACCAAAGAGCUUUUAUUAGCUCACUGCAAACUAACAAACUAACCUACUAAUAAACUAAUAACCUAACAAAAACUAACUAAAAUCACUAACUUUGUGCUGAGUGGCAGAAUAUGUAAAGCAUCCUGUUUUGGAGGCGUGGCAUCACUGACAGAAACACGUUUUCAAGAGUUACUGAUCUAAUGUGCCUGUUUGUGUGUGUGUGUGUGUGUGUGUGUGUGUGUGUGUGUGAGAGAGAGAGAGAGGGAGAGAGAGAGAGAGAGGGAUAAGAACAGCGUGUGCGUGUUUGUUCUCUCAAAAAUAAUUUUAAGGAAUAGUCUACCCCCAAAGUGAUAAUUUAUAUGCGUUACUCAGCCUGUGUUACAUUGAAUUCAUGGGGAAAACUGCUUUUCUUGCAUGCCUCCACAGUGCAUGAAGAAUCAAAAAACAGAGAAAAUUCUUGAUAAACUGAAGUCAUAGAGGGCCAUGCUUGCUCAGGCGCACUACCUCUCCAUACACGAGCCUAUUGAUGUGGAAGGUUUUUGAACUGUACAGCUUUAGUUUAAAUGCAUGUGUCUGGGAAAUACUGAGCAUACGACUGGAUACAUGAGAUUGUGUGAGAAAUUUUUGAACUCAUGUUUUGUUAUAGUUUUUGUGUUCUUAAACGCAGCCCCCAUUUACUUCGAUAUAACAAAAAAAAAUUUCCCAUUUUUGGAUUCUUUGAAGGCUUGCGAGAAAAGCAGAGUUUUUGUCAUAAGUUCCAUGUAGCACAGGGUGAGGAUUUGAAAUACAAAAGAUCAUUUUGGGGGUGUUGCUUUAACAUACCAAUUGAGGUUACAUUAAUUAGAACAGUUUUAGUCAAAUAUAUCCACAAUUGCUCUUUUAGCUGUGCAUCAAGAUACUAAACUUUAGACCUCUCAAAAAAUUAACUGUGAUGAACAAUAAAGCAUGUAAAGAGAAAUAAAUUCAAUGUACACUACUAUUUUUGUACUUAAUAGCUGAUAUACCAGCUGACUUUACUACAUACUUUUGUAAUAAUCAAUUUUCGCAUAAAAAAUAAA